CACCGCGGUUAUACGAGAGGUCCAAGUUGUUAGCCCUCGGCGUAAAGAGUGGUUAAAGUAAAAAACAAAACUGAGGUCGAACAUCUUCAAGGCAGUUAUACGCUCCCGAGGAUAUGAAGCACAAUCACGAAAGUAGCCUCACCCUGCUUGAACCCACGAAAGCUAGGACA
rnacentral:rRNA from 1 species